CCCAUGGCGAUGUGCCUUCAGAAUAGAGGUGGGGGGGGGGUCACCCCAAGAGCGAUUCAAAUACUUGGAUGGAGUAAAGCUGUAGAGGUGAACAACAUCUGAAGUCAGUCCCCUCUUGGAAGCAAACCUGGCGAGAGAACCUUAAAGCAACAGUAACCCCCUUCCACAUGGAUCUACCACAACCAGAAAGGGACAUUCAGUAAGGAUUCGGAGGCGCCUGAGAAGGUAACGAGUUACUCCUGAUCUAAUCCGGGUUCUGAAGACUUGCUCUUCUUCCACCCUCGUUGGUACUGCGGCCAGCUGUUGGGUUCCUUUGGAGUCCAGAUGAUCCUUCUCACCCGCCUUUCAUUUUGUUGAUGUUGUUAACGUUAAUUUGGUCUCCUUAUUGUUUAGUUGUAUUUAUGUUAUUCCAAACUAUUAAACACAACUGCAAUAUCUGUUAUUAAUAAAGUAUAUUUUCUUAAGUAAAGCUUAUUUAAAUUG